rnacentral:rRNA from 1 species
CCUACGGGAGGCAGCAGUGGGGAAUUUUGGACAAUGGGCGCAAGCCUGAUCCAGCAAUGCCGCGUGAGUGAAGAAGGCCUUCGGGUUGUAAAGCUCUUUUGUCAGGGAAGAAAAGGUGCGCUCUAACAUAGCGUACUGAUGACGGUACCUGAAGAAUAAGCACCGGCUAACUACGUGCCAGCAGCCGCGGUAAUACGUAGGGUGCAAGCGUUAAUCGGAAUUACUGGGCGUAAAGCGUGCGCAGGCGGUUUUAUAAGUCUGAUGUGAAAUCCCCGGGCUCAACCUGGGAACUGCAUUGGAGACUGUAAGGCUAGAGUGUGUCAGAGGGGGGUAGAAUUCCACGUGUAGCAGUGAAAUGCGUAGAUAUGUGGAGGAAUACCGAUGGCGAAGGCAGCCCCCUGGGAUAACACUGACGCUCAUGCACGAAAGCGUGGGGAGCAAACAGGAUUAGAUACCCUGGUAGUCCACGCCCUAAACGAUGUCUACUAGUUGUCGGGACUUAAUUGUCUUGGUAACGCAGACUACGCGUGAGUAGACCGCCGUCGGGAGGUACGGUCGCGAGAGUAAACGUAACGAAAGAAAGUUAGACGGCGUGAGACGUAGACCGACGGACGACGACGAGGGGAGGAGG